GACGAACGCUGGCGGCGCGCUUAACACAUGCAAGUCGAACGGAAAGGCCUGCUUUCCCUUGUGGAUUGCGGGUACUCGAGUGGCGAACGGGUGAGUAACACGUGAGUGAUCUGCCCCCAACUUGGGUAUAAGCCUGGGAAACUGGGUCUAAUUCCCGAUAGGACUGCAGGGUGGUGCCUGUGGUGGAAAACGAUUUUCUAGUGGUUGGGGAUGAGCUCGCGGCCUAUCAGCUUGUUGGUGGGGUAAUGGCCUACCAAGGCGGCGACGGGUAGCCGGCCUGAGAGGGUGGACGGCCACAUUGGGACUGAGAUACGGCCCAGACUCCUACGGGAGGCAGCAGUGGGGAAGAUUGCACAAUGGGCGGAAGCCUGAUGCAGCGACGCCGCGUGGGGGAUGACGGCCUUCGGGUUGUAAACUCCUUUCGACCGCGAGGAAGCCACCUGGUUGGAAGGGUGGUGACGGUAGUGGUAGAAGAAACACCGGCUAACUACGU
rnacentral:rRNA from 1 species